AUGGAGAGUUUGAUCCUGGCUCAGGAUGAACGCUAGCGGCAGGCCUAAUACAUGCAAGUCGGACGGGAUUGGGACCAGAGCUUGCUCUGGUCCCAUGAGAGUGGCGCACGGGUGCGUAACGCGUGAGCAACCUACCUCUAUCAGGGGGAUAGCCUCUCGAAAGAGAGAUUAACACCGCAUAAUAUAUCUGGCUGGCAUCAGUUAGAUAUUAAAUAUUUAUAGGAUAGAGAUGGGCUCGCGUGACAUUAGCUAGUUGGUAGGGUAACGGCUUACCAAGGCGACGAUGUCUAGGGGCUCUGAGAGGAGAAUCCCCCACACUGGUACUGAGACACGGACCAGACUCCUACGGGAGGCAGCAGUAAGGAAUAUUGGUCAAUGGGCGGAAGCCUGAACCAGCCAUGCCGCGUGCAGGAUGACUGCCCUAUGGGUUGUAAACUGCUUUUGUCCAGGAAUAAACCUAAAUACGUGUAUUUAGCUGAAUGUACUGGAAGAAUAAGGAUCGGCUAACUCCGUGCCAGCAGCCGCGGUAAUACGGAGGAUCCGAGCGUUAUCCGGAUUUAUUGGGUUUAAAGGGUGCGUAGGCGGCCUAUUAAGUCAGGGGUGAAAUACGGUGGCUCAACCAUCGCAGUGCCUUUGAUACUGAUGGGCUUGAAUCCAUUUGAAGUGGGCGGAAUAAGACAAGUAGCGGUGAAAUGCAUAGAUAUGUCUUAGAACUCCGAUUGCGAAGGCAGCUCACUAAGCUGGUAUUGACGCUGAUGCACGAAAGCGUGGGGAUCGAACAGGAUUAGAUACCCUGGUAGUCCACGCCCUAAACGAUGAUAACUCGAUGUUGGCGAUAGACAGCCAGCGUCCCAGCGAAAGCGUUAAGUUAUCCACCUGGGGAGUACGCCCGCAAGGGUGAAACUCAAAGGAAUUGACGGGGGCCCGCACAAGCGGAGGAGCAUGUGGUUUAAUUCGAUGAUACGCGAGGAACCUUACCCGGGCUUGAAAGUUAGUGAAGGAUGCAGAGACGCAUCCGUCCUUCGGGACACGAAACUAGGUGCUGCAUGGCUGUCGUCAGCUCGUGCCGUGAGGUGUUGGGUUAAGUCCCGCAACGAGCGCAACCCCUAUGUUUAGUUG
rnacentral:rRNA from 1 species